UACAGAGGUCCCAAGCGUUGUUCGGAUUCACUGGGCGUAAAGGGUGCGUAGGUGGUCAGGUAAGUCUGAUGUGAAAUCUCUGGGCUCAACCCAGAAACUGCAUUGGAUACUAUUUGGCUAGAGGAGUGGAGGGGGGACUGGAAUACUUGGUGUAGCAGUGAAAUGCGUAGAUAUCAAGUGGAACACCAGUGGCGAAGGCGAGUCCCUGGACACUUCCUGACACUGAGGCACGAAAGCUAGGGGAGCAAACAGG
rnacentral:rRNA from 1 species